rnacentral:rRNA from 1 species
AUGGCUACGGGCGCCUCUCGCCCUCUCCGUUCUGCACUCCUCCUCCUCCAAUUUAGGUGUGCGACCAUAGCUAAGGGCCGCCUCCUCCUAUCCAUCCUUCCAAUCUGGAGCAUAGGUGGAGAGCCUGGUUGUGCGCGGCGGAGAUGGCGCCCCGCGUCGGCGCCCCGUAAUCCUACACGGAGCUCUGUCGAGGCCAUGACAUCCCCACCCAGAUUAAUUAAGGAAUCAAUAUCACGAUGGUGCAUGCUUGAUGCAGCAGAGGAUCACAGGUGUAUUGCCGGCAGUUUCAAUUUAGCCAGGCGGUUGCCAUCAUCGUUAGACUUCACUGGAAGAACUGCAAUGGCUCUUUGUUCCAGCCAUAUCCGAUCUCCCGAGCCAGAGCUUUCAGGUCACUACAACACACUGUUUUCACGUCGCAUCGCACCAGCUCCUGCUACAUUAAAACUAAAAUCAUAUGGGAAUCAGUGCGAUUUACAAGGACUCUUUGGGGAGAUACUUUGCAACUGUGAAACAGCAAUAAAUCAUAUUAGCGCUGAUUUGGGGAGUAAAGCUCUUCGAGCAAGUGACAAAUCAAGUCUUUCAAGCUUCUCAAAGAUGGUGACCUGGAGUGGUUUGACUGGAAGCUUAAAAGCAAUUAAAGUGAAGAGAGGAAUCAAACUUUUAAAGCCACUCUUGCCAUUUGUGGACUGUUCCUGCUUGUUGGUGACUGCUUUUGCGAGUAUGUUCACUCUCAUCUAG